rnacentral:misc_RNA from 1 species
CUGAGUGCGGGCCCCUCGCGGGUCCAACCUCCCACCCGUGUCUCUUGAAUACCCUGUUGCUUUGGCGGGCCCACCGGGACAUCCCCGGUCGCCGGGGGGCACUGCGCCCCCGGGCCCGCGCCCGCCAGAGCGCCUAUGAACCCUAAUGAAGAAGGACUGUCUGAGUCUACGAUAUAAUUAUCA